UUCUGACCUGACUUUCCCUUCUUCGUCUUGAUAGUCCACCUUCAGAAACAGGAACCUUUGUUCUUAAAUAAGGAAGUUGUAAAAUCUCCAGUAGCAAAUUUCAUUAGUUCUUAGGCAAUACUAUAAGUGAUGGUAUUCUAUUGAGUCAACGCCUUGAACAUGAAUCAGAAGAUUAACUUUUGUAGCAAACUGUGAAUCUUUACUCCUAAAUUAUAGGAAAGUCUCCAUGGC